rnacentral:sRNA from 1 species
GGUUUGUCUUUUUUUUUUUUUUUAAAGAGAUCUUAGAACGUGGCCUCAAAUCUCUGCCGGGUUCUCCAGAGUGCUGGAAUUACAGACGCGGGCUGGAGCACAAAGCUCACUUACAAUUGCUGAUGUGUUCUCUAAAGCAAUCACUAGAAAUGUUCACAGCACUCUGAGCUCAGCAAAAAAAGGACCUGGUCAAGGCAGCCUGUGCCGCCUGCUUUUUCUUCUGCCUGAGUGGAUGCGCUCCCAAUACUGUCAGGAGUUCUUAAAUGUGUCCUCUGCUUUGUUGACCACUGACUCACCAGACUUCCAGAGCCUACAUGCCCCAGACUCUUUCUUGACUGUUAGAUUCUUGGACUAAGGAAAGUUUCGGAUAUGCCUGACCACUAACUACAUAAAUCUCGUGGAUCAUCAGCUCUAAUGCUGGCACCUGGUGGUCCGGUGCCAGUCCUGGGAAUGACUGAUUUAAUAUGAAGAUGAAGAAAACUGUUGGCUGAGCAGGGGACUUCCCACCUUUCCCCCACAACAUCAAUAGCACUUCUGUGACAUUGACAGAUGAAGUAGGAGGUAACCUCAGGGAUGGACAUCUUAUUGUAUCUCCAAUUGAGUAUGGCAACAAAGCCUUUCAUCUCCCUGAUGCAUGGCCAAAGGUUGGCAUCCUAAAGGCUGGGCUCACCCUUCGCAGCCCGACAUUAAUGGAGCUGCCUGCUGUCACCCUGG